AGUGCAGGUCCAGCCUUCCAGAAGCAUUCCAAGAUCCUCAGGCUUCAGCUUUCUGCCUCCUUCAGGAAAGUGUCCUUUGCAAAGAGCCCUCAAGUCUCUGCUGGAUUCAUGAAUGAGAGAGCAAACAAGGCAAGAAGAUGGCCACCUGCAAGACAGGAAGAGAGCCCUCACCUGGGAACCAAAUCAGCUGGCACCUUGACGAUGGAUUUCCCAACCUCCAGAACUGUCCUCAAGAGAUUGGAUGAUGCCCACCCAUACUGGUGAAGGUUCCUCUAAAUGUGAAACUCUGGGAAGCAUUCAUUUGAAGAGUGUUAGCAACUUUGUGAUGCAGUUCUUUGCCUGAAGAAGUCUUUCGCCUUGAAGCUGAUUUCACAUUUAUAGUUCUGGUGUCUCUAUCUGAAAUAAUACAUGGAAAAGCAAAUGUAACCAGUUCUCUGUCCAGAAGGAAGGAAAACGAAAUAGAAUGAUCCAAAUGAAAUAUAUAUAGACUAUUUUUUAGCUGGCAUGUUUGAAAUAUAGCAUCACAAUGUGGAGGAUGGAGAGGGUAAGGCAGAAAACACUGAGAAGAUCAAAAGGUGAAAGAGAUUUAUAUACUGAUGAGGCGGGCAACUAUAAAGAUGAAAAGCUCUAAAAAAAAAAAGAUGAAAAGCUCUGUGCAAAAGGUAGAAUGGUGGGUAGGGGUAAAAAGAUACAUUAGAAACUGAGGAAAGUCUGGAAGAAAAGAAAGGGCCUAAGAUGAGGAAUUAUUGGAGAAGCAGAGGAGCAACUGAAGGAGAGGAAUUAAAUGUGGUAGUGGGUAGCAAUAAGCAAGAUUUAGUACAAGAGUAUCAAUAAACAAAAGUUAUAAAAAUAAAUGAAUCAGUCUUUAGACCGUGACCUUGGGGGUCCCUCAAAAGGGCCUCAGGGACUGCCUGAUGGCGGAAGAGGUGGGACGACACUGCUUGUUCCUGCUUUAGUCAGAGUAGCUGUGUUUUCAUCUGUUUAAUAUAUUGCAACUCCGCAUAAAAUUUCAUUGAGAAGAGGGCCAUGCUGCUUAAAAAAAGGUUUGAAAAUCCGGAUGGAGAUGAUGUCAAGGAUUCAAAAAUCUGAACGAUAUUAUAAGAAUCUCUGAGAAGGAAAUGAGGACAAAAUACUGAGAAAGUGCACUGGCAGGAUAUAUAAUGGUGGAAGUUCCCACAGGAACAGGAGGCAGGAGGGGAGAUUGGAGACCUCUUACAGAAAGCAGCCUAGAUGUGUGUGAUGGGUGGGCUGAGAGGCCACCUUCCCACCCCCCAACCAUGACCUGAACCCUGCCCCUCACCAUUUUGUCUUAAGGUGUGAUGCUCCUUCGAUGCCCACUGCAGUUGCUUUUUUGUGGGCUUAAGCUGGCUACGUGGUGUCUCCUGAGUGAUUUCACAAGUUGAUAGCUUCUUUGCAAGCAUGUCCUCAUUUCGUCCAAGAGAGACCUAGAAACAGUUUGGUACUAACUGAGGCUGAAGAAGGGAAUCAGGUUGGAACUUGAAGAUAAAAUAACAGAGAAGAAACUAUCCUGGGACACAGGAAAAGGGAGGAAAAAGGCAGAGGCGCAUUCUGUUUUCUGGCACAGCUGGGAGUCCACUCACCACACUCUACAUUUAGUUGUGCUGAGUGGGAGUACAAUUUGGGAGCUCUAACCCCAGUGAUGUGCCAGAGCUCCUGACUCAGCCUUGUCCCUCAUGCCCACAGCCCCUUCUCACCUGUUCAGCCGCCCUGUCAUGCUCUUUCUCCAGCUCCUCCAGCAUCACCACGGCUUCCUCUCCACUCUCUGGUCGGUUCUCUUCAAACCAGGCCUGCAGCUCCUCAGGCAACAUGGCCAGGAACUGCUCCAGCACCAGCAGCUCCAGGAUCUGCUCCUUGCUAUGCACCUCUGGCCUCAGCCACUGACAGCACAGCUCGCGGAGCCGGCUCAGAGCCUCCCGGGGCCCAGAUGACUCUUGGUAGUCAAACUGCCUGAACCGCUGGCGGUAGGUCUCUGAGCUGUAGUAGCUGCUCCAGUGGCGGCUGGAGACCAUAUUAGAGGCCUGCCCUCCCUCUUCCACCUUCAUUACCAGAAUGCAGUCAGGGUCCCCUGAAGUUUGUGGAAGGAGUUUUGAUGUCUCUCUCAAUUUGGCAGACAUUUGGACUAGGAAUAGCUCAGAACUGCUGGGCUUUAAUCUUCAAGAAGGUGAAACUCUCCUUAUGGACACUCCUAAAUAUGAUUAAAGAGGCAAGUGGAAACAAGACAGAGACAAAUGCUUCUUAGAAGGAUACAACUAAGAUUAGAAACAUAAAGACUGUACAGAAAGUGCUGCCCUUAAUCUUAACAUAAACCAUGCUUUCAAAGAACACUUCCUUCUCCAAGAGAAUCAAAGAGCUCAGAGGCAUUAAUUUAUAUACAUGAGUAAUUUGCAAUUUAUUCUGAAAAUCAUGCACGUGAGGCUGACUAAAUAUCACAAUAAGAGUUCAGCCAGUGUUGCAGAGGAGCUCCUGGAGAACAGAAAUAAGGGAAGGCUGAGGAAAGUUAUGACUCUGGGUCAGCCUCGAAGAGCCAGUUAAUUUUUUCUAGACUGCUGCAAGGAGCUCUAAGGAACAGUCUCACGAGAGAAGUACUUUUGCAUAGUUUUUUUUUCGAUGCUUACUAAUUUUUAAAACAAUAUUACUUUGGCAUUAAAGGGACCAUUCAAAAGAAAAAAGCAUAUUCCUCCAUCUUAAUGUAUUUCCAUUUUUUCAUGUCCAUGUCUACUGCUCAUCUGUGACAUCCAUAUUAUUUACUUAAUUAUCUCUUUACUGUAGAAUAUUUAGGCUGUUUCUAAUUUUUACUAUUAUAAACAAUGCUAGGAAGCACAUUUUCAGAAAAUAUACUAUUUUUCUCCUUUCAAAUUAUUUCCUUCAAAGAUGUCCCAAGGACUUGACUUACUGGGGUCAAAGCAAAAGGGACAAAUAUCUUGCUAUGUAUUAUCAAACAGAUUAUAGAAAACGCUGUAUCAAAUCACAGUGUCACCAGCAACAUAGUGAUGUAUGGGGGCAACAAUUUCUCCAAGUAUCGCUAGCUUGUUAGCAGGAAGGGGGUGGGAAGACGUUUUCCUUAGUAGCAUUUUAGUAUAUGUAUCACUAGUAACUGACAGCUAAUUUAAACUGUUAUAUGUGCCCCUAUUUUUCCUCUCUACCAUUUUUUUCCCCACUUCACCGAGAACUCUUCUAGGCACUGAAGAUAUGGCGGUGACCCGAACAAAG